GGAGGUUGGAGCCGACGGGCAGCCGGCGGCUGUGGGCUGUGCGGGGCUCUCGUGGCGGUGAUGCUGCAGUAACGUGUCCUCCGUGCUCCCUUCGCUGAGAUGUGCCGUGUGUGUCUGUGGCCGUGCUGAGGCUGCACGAAAGAUAUCGCGAUGGCACCGAGUCCUCUGAGAUGCGCUACGGAAAUGAUGAGAACGACUUCUGAGGCUGUGAGCGGUGGCUGAUGAGAGAA